rnacentral:rRNA from 1 species
UACCAGCUCUCCGAGUGGUGUGGAUGUUUAUUGGGCCUAAAGCAUCCGUAGCUGGCUGGACAAGUCCCCUGUUAAAUCCACCGAUUUAAUCGUUGGUGUGCGGGGGAUACUGUUCGGCUAGGGGACGGGAGAGGCCGACGGUAUUUCCGGGGUAGGGGUGAAAUCCUAUAAUCCCGGGAAGACCACCAGUGGCGAAGGCUGUCGGCUAGAACGCGCCCGACGGUGAGGGAUGAAAGCUGGGGGAGCGAACCGGAUUAGAUACCCGGGUAGUCCCAGCUGUAAACGAUGCAGGCUAGGUGUUGGGGUGGCUACGAGCCACUUCAGUGGCGCAGGGAAACCAUUAAGCCCGCCGCCUGGGAAGUAUGAUCGCAAGAUUGAAACUUAAAGGAAUUGGCGGGGGAGCACCACAAGGGGUGAAGCUUGCGGUUU